rnacentral:rRNA from 1 species
GACGAACGCUGGCGGCGUGCCUAACACAUGCAAGUCGAACGGAGAUUCAGAUGAAGCUUGCGAUUCUGAAUCUUAGUGGCGGACGGGUGAGUAACGCGUGGGUAAUCUGCCCUUAAGUGGGGGAUAACAGUCGGAAACGACUGCUAAUACCGCAUAAGCUGGCGGGAACACAUGUUUCUGUCAGGAAAGGUGGCCUCUUAACAAUGCUACCGCUUAAAGGAUGAGCCCGCGUCUGAUUAGCUAGUUGGUGAGGUAACAGCUCACCAAGGCGACGACGGGUAGCCGGCCUGAGAGGGUGACCGGCCACACUGGGACUGAGACACGGCCCAGACUCCUACGGGGGGCAGCAGUGGGGGAUCUUGCACAAUGGGCGAAAGCCUGAUGCAGCGACGCCGCGUGAGCGAAGAAGGCCUCGGGUUGUAAGGACUCUGUCUGGAGGGACGAAGGGAAGUAGACGGUACCUCCGGAGGAAGCCACGGCUAACUACGUGCCAGCACG